GGGGGAGGCUCGGUGGGCGCCACCGCCUCCUAAUCCUGAGUCUCUCCCCCUCCCUGUGUCUGAACCUUUCUUGUGGAUGCUGACUGACGCUCCGAUUUGUUCACUUCUCUCUCUCUUUCUCUCUCCAUCUCCUUGGUCCAUCUCUGUCUCUUGCCAUCCCUCUUUUUGUGUCUCCAUGUCUGUCUCUGCCUCCCCGUCCUCCUGUCUCUUAUUUCUGUCUUCUUCACCGUCUCUGUCUCUGGCCACCUCUGUCUCUCUGGGUUACCUCUUGCCCUCUCCAUCCCUUUCUCUCUUUUUCUCCCUGUCUUGGGGUCUCUCUCUCCCUGCACUCGCAUUUCCAUGCUUCCUCCUGGUGUUUCUGCCCUUCCCCCCACCCAGGUUACGAGAAAUCCCGCAGCCUGAGCAGCAUCGCGGGCCUGAGCGGGGUGUCCCUACGCCUUGCACCCCUUGCCACCCCCCCAGGCUCUCCCCGGGCCACCCGCCGUGCUCCCCCAACCCUGCCCUCCAUCCUUUAGCGCUCCCCUCCCCCCUGUGGGGGGACUCGGGGGUGACCGGGAAGAAGGUCAAAGGAGCUGGGGGUGGGGGGUGGGGGAAAGGUUUUUAAAAAAAAAAAAAUCAAAAAGUCAUUAAUAAUAUGCAACCGAAAUGAUGAUGCCAGCAGACACCCCCAGGCCCCUCACCCACAAUCUGGGCCCCAGGAUGGAGGGGGAGGGGCUGUAGCCGUUCCCCCAACCCCCCCAAAAAGCCUUCUCAGGUCUCCAUGAGCCAUAGGACACCCCCUCCCAUCAACUUGUGUAAAUAAGUCCAAAUUAUGCCAGUUACAUCUUGGGGCACCUCCCCCCAAAUGCACUCUGCAUGCCUCCCAGAUCUGGACCCUGCUCCAACUCCUCAGCAAUAAGCCACCAGGGGCUGCGUGCUGCGAGUAGGGGGCUGGGAGCUCCAGGAGUAGGGCUGGCCUUUAAGCCACAGGAGGGUGUCCUGGCUUCCUACCCUUCACCCCAAGAGGGCAACCAACCCAUCACGCAUAAGGAGAAACAAAAUCCUAGAAAGGGCUCAGGGAAAGGAGAGAUUGCUAACCAGGCCAACAAAGAGCUGAGCUCAGAUGGCAGGAUGAGGCAAGAGUGGUGGGCUGCUGCCAGCUGCUCCCUCAGCCUUUAGGAGGAUCCCUCUGGUGAAUUCCACCCUCUCAUCCCCCACCCCACCCCCAGGGAUCUGCUCGCCUCUAUUCUUGCUGCAUGGACUCAGACCUGCCAUCCUAGAAUUCUUGGGAUGAUUUGGCCCUAGCACAUAAAAUUCCCCAACCCUUUCCCUCUGUUCCCAGGACAUGAGACCUGCAUCUAGGAUUCCUGAGAGGGACCCUGGCACCCCACACCCCUAAAUCCCCACACGCCCCAGGGGCCUUGCCUCUGCACACAGAUGCUUCCCUUCCCCUCCCCAAUAUGCCCACCCCCAAAUUCCCUGGACCGCAUCCCAGCACUUUUUAAACCUCCAAGACUUGACCCAGCUCUUCAGCUCAAUUUCAGCCUUUGGGAUGCUCCAAAUCCUUCCCACAACUUUGACAUAUCCCAGACACCCCCAAGUCCUCAGGCCUGCCCCCCAUACACCCCCAUAUCCCUAACAUCAGACCCAUCCACCCUAGGUCCCACUAAUGCUAAACUUCCAAAAUAGGCUCAGCCUAUCUUUAAAUCCAGGGAGCCAGACCCAUCCCAGCACCCCCCUUCUUAGGUAAGCCUAGCCCUGCCCCUCACGAGGCUCCUUCCCCAAGAUGGUGCCCCAAAGGUACCUCUUCAUGGCCACCAGUGUUUCCAAAGUGUGGUUCUCAUGCUCCUGCUGGUGUGUUAAGGUAUUAGGCAAUACAAGGACAAACACCUGUUAAGAAUUCUUUAAUGUGCACAUCUUGCAUAUUAAGCUCAUAAGUGCACGUAUUGCUACUUGGCCAGGGCACCAUUUAUGCAGGUUAAAAAUGUUUCCAUUUAAAGCAGUCCAUAAGUGAUCAUAGAGGCUGUGCUUGAAUGGAGGGACACUGAUGUCAAGCUUGGGAGACAACGACAUACCCAACUUGGCUGGGAUUCCAGCCCUCCCUUCCCCAGCGUUCCUCGUCCCGCUACACUCGCGGGUGGAAAAUCAUUUCUCAUAUCCCAUCCUGGCUCAAGGAUGCGCUACCUCCCCCAAGCCCAGAGACCACACUGGUCCCAGAAUCCUUAGCGGCCCCCACUUUUGCAGCUGGGGGCCCACGUGAAUCAGCAACCUCCCUCUGCUCCCACGGGCUCAGAACCCCCCACUUCCACCCAAUGGUGUGUGUGUGGGGAGGUCACUGAACACGAUUCUUGAUGCAAUGAUUCCUAUGCAAGGGGCAUUUUGAGUCCCCUCAUCCUUCCCUCGGACCCUAAACCCUGAAUCAGGGGUGAGGGGUGGGGAGGGCUCUGGUG
rnacentral:lncRNA from 1 species